rnacentral:rRNA from 1 species
ACGCUGGCGGCAGGCUUAACACAUGCAAGUCGAACGGUAGCAGGAGGAAGCUUGCUUUCUUGCUGACGAGUGGCGGACGGGUGAGUAAUGCUUGGGAAUCUGGCUUAUGGAGGGGGAUAACUACGGGAAACUGUAGCUAAUACCGCGUAGUGUCGAGAGACGAAAGUGCGGGACCGCAAGGCCGCAUGCCAUGAGAUGAGCCCAAGUGGGAUUAGGUAGUUGGUGGGGUAAAGGCCUACCAAGCCUGCGAUCUCUAGCUGGUCUGAGAGGAUGGCCAGCCACACUGGAACUGAGACACGGUCCAGACUCCUACGGGAGGCAGCAGUGGGGAAUAUUGCGCAAUGGGGGGAACCCUGACGCAGCCAUGCCGCGUGAAUGAAGAAGGCCUUCGGGUUGUAAAGUUCUUUCGGUAUUGAGGAAGGAGUGUAUGUUAAUAGCAUACAUUAUUGACGUUAAAUACAGAAGAAGCACCGGCUAACUCCGUGCCAGCAGCCGCGGUAAUACGGAGGGUGCGAGCGUUAAUCGGAAUAACUGGGCGUAAAGGGCACGCAGGCGGUUAUUUAAGUGAGGUGUGAAAGCCCCGGGCUUAACCUGGGAAUUGCAUUUCAGACUGGGUAACUAGAGUACUUUAGGGAGGGGUAGAAUUCCACGUGUAGCGGUGAAAUGCGUAGAGAUGUGGAGGAAUACCGAAGGCGAAGGCAGCCCCUUGGGAAUGUACUGACGCUCAUGUGCGAAAGCGUGGGGAGCAAACAGGAUUAGAUACCCUGGUAGUCCACGCUGUAAACGCUGUCGAUUUGGGGAUUGGGCUUAAAGCUUGGUGCCCGUAGCUAACGUGAUAAAUCGACCGCCUGGGGAGUACGGCCGCAAGGUUAAAACUCAAAUGAAUUGACGGGGGCCCGCACAAGCGGUG